rnacentral:rRNA from 1 species
CCUGGCGGCCAUAGCGAGUGUGAACCACCCGAUUCCAUUUCGAACUCGGAAGUGAAACCGCUCAGCGCCGAUGGUAGUGUGGGGUUUCCCAUGUGAGAGUAGGUCACCGCCAGGC